GUUUAAUGUUGACGGUUUCUCUCUCUAUCUACUAUAUUUUUACCCAAAAUCGCAAAAGUGGGAAAAAGGAGUCGACGAUCAUUCCAAUGAAACUUUUUCGUCUAAAAAUAUUGAAGUGAUAAAUCAUUCUUUUACUCGUGUCAAGCAUUAGGUUUUGAAUAAAAUGAGAUAUGAAAUAUAGUUUGAUGAGGCAGAAAAAAACCAAAGACAAAGAGAAAUCAAGUAACUAGAGUCCACCUUUAGACUUUUACAUGUUAUAAAACCAAAGACAAAGGGAAAUCAAGUUACUAGAGUCAACAUUCAGACUUAUACAUGUUAUAAUAGACUGAUUCCUCAAAAUCAAGCUCGAAAUCGCCCAAUGACUGAAAAUAAAUGAGUUCAUUUACCAUCACUUGCCUUCGUACUUUAUUUGGCCUUUUUAACACUUUUCGAUUCGAGCGUCACUGAUGAGUCUUUUGUAGACGAAACGCGCGUCUGGC
rnacentral:lncRNA from 1 species